rnacentral:rRNA from 1 species
CCUACGGGAGGCAGCAGUGAGGAAUAUUUGUCAAUGUGCGCGAGCCUGAACCAGCCAAGUAGCGUGAAGGAUGACUGCCCUACGGGUUUUAAACUUCUUUUAUAAGGGAAUAAAGUGAGCCACUUGUGCCUUUUUGUAUAUCAUCUAUGAAUAAGGCUCGGCGAACUCCGUGACAGCCACCGCGGUAAUUCGGCGGAUCCGAGCGUUAUCCGGAUUUGUUGGGUUUAAAGGGGGCGUAGAUGGGUUGUUAAGUCAUUUGUGAAAGUUUGCGGCUUAACCGUCAAAGUGCAAUUGAUACUGGCAGUCUUGAGUACAGGUGAGGUAGGCGGAAUGCGUGGUGUAGCGGUGAAAGGCUUAGAUAUCACGAAGAACUCCGAUUGCGAAGGCAGCGUACUAAACUGCCACUGACAUUGAUGCUCGAAAGUGUGGGGAUCAAACAGGAUUAGAGACCCGUGUAGUC